rnacentral:rRNA from 1 species
AGCAGCCGCGGUAAUUCCAGCUCCAAUAGCGUAUAUUAAAGUUGUUGCAGUUAAAAAGCUCGUAGUUGAACCUUAGGCACGCGCGGGCGGUCCGUCCUCAGGGCGAGCACUGCUUCGCCGCGGGUCUCACCUUCUGGCGAGCGUGGGUGCCAUUUACUUGGUGUCCGCGGGAACCAGGACCUUUACCUUGAAAAAAUUAGAGUGCUCAAAGCGGGCUCUUCGCUUGAAUACAUUAGCAUGGAAUAAUGAAAUAGGACGACGGUUCUAUUUUGUUGGUUUCCGGGACCAUCGUAAUGAUUAAUAGGGAUAGUUGGGGGCAUUCGUAUUCAAUUGUCAGAGGUGAAAUUCUUGGAUUUAUUGAAGACGAACUACUGCGAAAGCAUUUGCCAAGGAUGUUUUCAUUAAUCAAGAACGAAAGUUGGGGGAUCGAAGACGAUCAGAUACCGUCGUAGUCUCAACCAUAAACUAUGCCGACUGGGAAUCGGGCGAUGUUAUUUUACGUGACUCGCUCGGCGCCCCGAG